rnacentral:rRNA from 1 species
UACGUAGGUGGCAAGCGUUGUCCGGAUUUACUGGGUGUAAAGGGCGUGUAGCCGGGCUGACAAGUCAGAUGUGAAAUCCGGGGGCUCAACCCCUGAACUGCAUUUGAAACUGUUGGUCUUGAGUAUCGGAGAGGCAGGCGGAAUUCCUAGUGUAGCGGUGAAAUGCGUAGAUAUAUGGAGGAACACCGGUGGCGAAAGCGGCUCUCUGGCCUGUAACUGACACUGAGGCUCGAAAGCGUGGGGAGCAAACAGG